GAUGAAGAACGUAGCGAAAUGCGAUACUUGGUGUGAAUUGCAGAAUCCCGUGAACUAUCGAGUCUUUGAACGCAAGUUGCGCCCGAAGCCAUCAGGUUGAGGGCACGUCUGCCUGGGCGUCACAUAUCGUUGCCCAAUGCCUAUUGCAGUGCAAUAGGAAUUUCUAGGGCGAAUGAUGGCUUCCCGUGAGCGUUGUUGCCUCGCGGUUGGUUGAAAAUCGAGUCCUUGGUAGGGUGUGCCAUGGUAGAUGGUGGUCGAGUUAGAACGAUACCGAUCAUGUGCAUGCUCCCCAAAAUAUGGCCUCUAUGACCCACACGCGUCUUUUGACGCUCAUGACGAGACCUCAGGUCAGGCGGGGCUACCCGCUGAAUUUAAGCAUAUCAAUAAGCGGAGGA
rnacentral:misc_RNA from 1 species